UGCAGCGACGCCGCGUGAGGGAUGACGGCCUUCGGGUUGUAAACCUCUUUCAGUAUCGACGAAGCGCAAGUGACGGUAGGUACAGAAGAAGGACCGGCCAACUACGUGCCAGCAGCCGCGGUAAUACGUAGGGUCCGAGCGUUGUCCGGAAUUACUGGGCGUAAAGAGCUCGUAGGUGGUUUGUCGCGUUGUUCGUGAAAACUCACAGCUCAACUGUGGGCGUGCGGGCGAUACGGGCAGACUAGAGUACUGCAGGGGAGACUGGAAUUCCUGGUGUAGCGGUGGAAUGCGCAGAUAUCAGGAGGAACACCGGUGGCGAAGGCGGGUCUCUGGGCAGUAACUGACGCUGAGGAGCGAAAGCGUGGGGAGCGAACAGGAUUAGAUACCCUGGUAGUCCACGCCGUAAACGGUGGGUACUAGGUGUGGGUUUCCUUCCUUGGGAUCCGUGCCGUAGCUAACGCAUUAAGUACCCCGCCUGGGGAGUACGGCCGCAAGGCUAAAACUCAAAGAAAUUGACGGGGGCCCGCACAAGCGGCGGAGCAUGUGGAUUAAUUCGAUGCAACGCGAAGAACCUUACCUGGGUUUGACAUGCACAGGACGUGCCUAGAGAUAGGUAUUCCCUUGUG
rnacentral:rRNA from 1 species